rnacentral:lncRNA from 1 species
AGGAUCACAAAUAAAGCUGUGUGUGUUUCAAGUGGUUGGUACAGGGAAGCUGUCUGUCCUAUGGCUGUAACUGCUUAUGGAGCUGAACCUGGUGGUGCUGCUGGGUUUUGAGAUGUUUUAUCAGUAUCCUGGCAAGUACAGGCAAAGCCAAUAUUGUCUGAUGUUUCCAUUUUCUUAAGUUCUGGUGUUGGUGCAAGACAUUGAUUAUAUUGAGAUUUACACUUGUGUCAUGAUGUUUGUGCUCUACUAAAGGACACAGCCAGCUGAAGCGAUCAGCAUGCAAAGAAAUCAGGUUUCCAUUGAUUUCAGAGAGUACAGAAUCCCCUGAGCUGGUCUCCAGGUGUUGCUGCCAUGGGAGUCCCAGAGGAUGAUGUACAGCACAUCCACCCUGAGCACUGGGCAGCUCUGCUGCAGGAAGUCAGAGAUUUUCUAGCAUGGAAUACAACAGGGCUUUUCUGCAGUUAUCAUGGAGAGAGCGUUUUCCUUGGAUGUGUGCAGCUCGUUUGUUACAAAGCGAGCCAUGCUCCAGGAAUUGAAGUUGUAACUCCUCCUCUGAAGUCUUGA